AGCAAAGUUGAUGCAAUAAUUUUAUUAAUUGUUGCCAAGAGUUUUAACACCAUUGUCUUCUACCGCUUCUUGCACCUGGACCCGGACAUAACUGGGCUGUCACUUUCCCGGGUGGUUCCAACCUGUUCCAUGCAACAGGCUCCUUUGUUGCAAAAGCAUUUUUAACUAGUAAAUCCCCGCAGCAGCUCACAUUUCCCACCCUGGGAAGAAGAUUCCCAGAGACCCGGAGCUGAUUAUUCUUUAUGUGUGUUUUAAAAUAAGCAGGCGGGCCGGCGGCAUUGGGC
rnacentral:lncRNA from 1 species